rnacentral:rRNA from 1 species
AGGAUAAACGCUAGCGGCAGGCCUAACACAUGCAAGUCGAGCGGCAGCACGAAGUAGCAAUAUUUUGGUGGCGAGCGGCGGACGGGUGAGUAACGCGUAUGCAACCUGCCCAUCACACGGAGAUAGCCGACCGAAAGGACGAUUAAACUCCGAUGGCAUCAAGAGGGGGCAUCCCCAUUUGAUUAAAUAUUCAUAGGUGAUGGAUGGGCAUGCGUGGCAUUAGUUAGUUGGCGGGGCAACGGCCCACCAAGACGAUGAUGCCUAUGGGUUCUAAAAGGAAGAUCCCACACAUCGGUACUGAGACACGGACCGAACUCCUACGGGAGGCAGCAGUGAGGAAUAUUGGACAAUGGGGGCAACCCUGAUCCAGCCAAACCGCGUGGGGGACGGAGGCCGUUAAGGUCGUAAACCCCUUUUAUAUGGGAGCAAUCCCCGCCAUGUAUGGCGGGCUGAGAGUACCAUUUGAAUAAGCAUCGGCUAACUCCGUGCCAGCAGCCGCGGUAAUACGGAGGAUGCGGGCGUUAUCCGGAUUUAUUAGGUCUAAAGGGUGCGCAGGCGGCUCUCUAAGUCGGCGGUGAAAACCCGUGGCCCAACCACGGACGUGCCAUCGAUACUGGGGGGGCUUGAGUGUGGGGUGACGUAAGCGGAAUGAGUGGUGUAGCGGUGAAAUGCUUAGAUAUUACUCAGAACACCGAUUGCGAAGGCAGCUUACGAACCCUCCACUGACGCUCAUGCACGAAAGCGCGGGUAGCGAACAGGAUUAGAUACCCUGGUAGUCCGCGCGGUAAACGAUGAUCACUCGCUGUACGGGUUUGGACCCGUGUGGCCAAGCGAAAGCGAUAAGUGAUCCACCUGGGGAGUACGGCGGCAACGCUGAAACUCAAAGGAAUUGACGGGGGCCCGCACAAGCGGAGGAACAUGUGGUUUAAUUCGAUGAUACGCGAGGAACCUUACCCGGGCUCGAACGCAUGAUGAAGCCGUGGAAACACGGUGGCCCAGCAAUGGGAGUCGUGCGAGGUGCUGCAUGGUUGUCGUCAGCUCGUGCCGUGAGGUGUUGGCUUAAGUGCCAUAACGAGCGCAACCCCUGUCCGAAGUUGCCAACGGGUCAAGCCGGGGACUCUUCGGAGACUGCCGCCGCAAGGUGCGAGGAAGGCGGGGAUGACGUCAAAUCAGCACGGCCCUUACGUCCGGGGCGACACACGUGUUACAAUGGCCGGUACAGCGGGCAGCCACCCUGCGAAGGGGCGCGAAUCCCGAAAGCCGGUCUUAGUUCGGACUGGAGUCUGGAACCCGACUCCACGAAGCCGGAUUCGCUAGUAAUCGCGCAUCAGCCAUGGCGCGGUGAAUACGUUCCCGGGCCUUGUACACACCGCCCGUCAAGCCAUGGAAGCCGGAAGUACCUGAAGUCCGUAACCGCGAGGAGCGGCCUAGGGUAAGGCUGGUGACUGGGGCU